rnacentral:rRNA from 1 species
GACGAACGCUGGCGGCGUGCUUAACACAUGCAAGUCGAACGAAGUGGCGAACGGGUGAGUAACGCGUAAUCAACCUGCCCUUCAGGGGGGGACAACAGUUGGAAACGACUGCUAAUACCGCAUACUGAAGGAGGGGAUUGCGGCUGAUUAGCUAGGUGGAGGGGUAACGGCCCACCAAGGCGAUGAUCAGUAGCCGGUCUGAGAGGAUGGACUGCCAAAUUUGGACUGAGAAACGGCCCAGACUCCCUCGGGAGGCAGCAGGGGGGAAUUUUCCGCAAUGGACGAAAGUCUGACGGAGCAACGCCGCGUGAGUGAUGACGGCCUUCGGGGUGUAAAGCUCUGUUAAUCGGGACGCGGUACCGGAAUAGAAAGCCACGGCUAACUACGUGCCAGCAGCCGCGGUAAUAC